rnacentral:sRNA from 1 species
UUUUUGUUUGCGUAAGGGGUAGGAACGGCAUUCUUUUAUGGUAGUUCCGAUAGCUAUCGGUAACCACAAAAGAUAAAGUGGACAGCCGACCCACU